AAAUGGAGUACGAUUUAAUCAUUGAACAUUCUUUCAUACUUAGGGCUUGAAGAAUCCUCGAGAGAGUGACAAUGCUUGUUGAAUUUUUAUGAAAAUGCAACAUUGAAAAGGAAUUGGUGCAAGGGUUUGAUCAAGAGGCUGCUGCAGUUGUUGUGGCAAGAUUAACUUCAUAAAAAAUGGAGAUGGAGGUUCAACCGGAGUCGACAACUUCAUGAGUUUUCUUUCAAAGAACAUUUUCA